UACGGUGGGGGCAAGCGUUGUUCGGAAUUACUGGGCGUAAAGGGCUCGUAGGUGGCCAACUAAGUCAGACGUGAAAUCCCUCGGCUUAACCGGGGAACUGCGUCUGAUACUGGAUGGCUUGAGUUUGGGAGAGGGACGCGGAAUUCCAGGUGUAGCGGUGAAAUGCGUAGAUAUCUGGAGGAACACCGGUGGCGAAGGCGGCGUCCUGGACCAACACUGACACUGAGGAGCGAAAGCCAGGGGAGCAAACGAG
rnacentral:rRNA from 1 species